AGCAGCCGCGGUAAUUCCAGCUCCAAUAGCGUAUAUUAAAGUUGUUGCAGUUAAAAAGCUCGUAGUUGAAUUUCGGGGUUAGUAGGCUGGUCGUGCCACAGGUAUGCACUGGUCUUACUGAUUCCUCCUUCCUGAUGAACCGUAAUGCCAUUAAUUUGGUGUUGCGGGGAGUCUGGACUGUUACUUUGAAAAAAUUAGAGUGUUUAAAGCAGGCUAACGCUUGAAUACAUUAGCAUGGAAUAACGAAAUAGGACGUUCGAUCCUAUUUUGUUGGUUUCUAGGAUUGACGUAAUGAUUAAUAGGGAUAGUUGGGGGCAUUAGUAUUCAAUUGUCUGAGGUGAAAUUCUUGGAUUUAUUGAAGACUAACUACUGCGAAAGCAUUUGCCAAGGAUGUUUUCAUUAAUCAAGAACGAAAGUUAGGGGAUCGAAGACGAUCAGAUACCGUCGUAGUCUUAACCAUAAACUAUGCCGACUAGGGAUCGGAUGAUGUUAAUUUUUAAUGACUCAUUCGGCGCCUUAC
rnacentral:rRNA from 1 species